UUUGCCAGGGAUCGCCCUCCACCAGCGCGUUGCGCCCGUGGGGGCAAACCUU
rnacentral:sRNA from 16 species